UCCCGGCGAGCCCGACCCGCUCCCGGACGAGGGUGGUCGUACCCGGCAACGCGACAAGACGACCACGG
rnacentral:ncRNA from 1 species